GGGUUGUGAGGUUAAGCGACUAAGCGUACACGGUGGAUGCCCUGGCAGUCAGAGGCGAUGAAGGACGUGCUAAUCUGCGAUAAGCGUCGGUGAGGUGAUAUGAACCGUUAUAACCGGCGAUUUCCGAAUGGGGAAACCCAGUGUGUUUCGACACACUAUCAUUAACUGAAUCCAUAGGUUAAUGAGGCGAACCGGGGGAACUGAAACAUCUAAGUACCCCGAGGAAAAGAAAUCAACCGAGAUUCCCCCAGUAGCGGCGAGCGAACGGGGAGGAGCCCAGAGCCUGAAUCAGUGUGUGUGUUAGUGGAAGCGUCUGGAAAGGCGCGCGAUACAGGGUGACAGCCCCGUACACAAAAAUGCACAUAUUGUGAGCUCGAUGAGUAGGGCGGGACACGUGGUAUCCUGUCUGAAUAUGGGGGGACCAUCCUCCAAGGCUAAAUACUCCUGACUGACCGAUAGUGAACCAGUACCGUGAGGGAAAGGCGAAAAGAACCCCGGCGAGGGGAGUGAAAAAGAACCUGAAACCGUGUACGUACAAGCAGUGGGAGCCUCUUAAUGGGGUGACUGCGUACCUUUUGUAUAAUGGGUCAGCGACUUAUAUUCUGUAGCAAGGUUAACCGAAUAGGGGAGCCGAAGGGAAACCGAGUCUUAACUGGGCGUUAAGUUGCAGGGUAUAGACCCGAAACCCGGUGAUCUAGCCAUGGGCAGGUUGAAGGUUGGGUAACACUAACUGGAGGACCGAACCGACUAAUGUUGAAAAAUUAGCGGAUGACUUGUGGCUGGGGGUGAAAGGCCAAUCAAACCGGGAGAUAGCUGGUUCUCCCCGAAAGCUAUUUAGGUAGCGCCUCGUGAAUUCAUCUCCGGGGGUAGAGCACUGUUUCGGCAAGGGGGUCAUCCCGACUUACCAACCCGAUGCAAACUGCGAAUACCGGAGAAUGUUAUCACGGGAGACACACGGCGGGUGCUAACGUCCGUCGUGAAGAGGGAAACAACCCAGACCGCCAGCUAAGGUCCCAAAGUCAUGGUUAAGUGGGAAACGAUGUGGGAAGGCCCAGACAGCCAGGAUGUUGGCUUAGAAGCAGCCAUCAUUUAAAGAAAGCGUAAUAGCUCACUGGUCGAGUCGGCCUGCGCGGAAGAUGUAACGGGGCUAAACCAUGCACCGAAGCUGCGGCAGCGACACUAUGUGUUGUUGGGUAGGGGAGCGUUCUGUAAGCCUGUGAAGGUGGCCUGUGAGGGUUGCUGGAGGUAUCAGAAGUGCGAAUGCUGACAUAAGUAACGAUAAAGCGGGUGAAAAGCCCGCUCGCCGGAAGACCAAGGGUUCCUGUCCAACGUUAAUCGGGGCAGGGUGAGUCGACCCCUAAGGCGAGGCCGAAAGGCGUAGUCGAUGGGAAACAGGUUAAUAUUCCUGUACUUGGUGUUACUGCGAAGGGGGACGGAGAAGGCUAUGUUGGCCGGGCGACGGUUGUCCCGGUUUAAGCGUGUAGGCUGGUUUUCCAGGCAAAUCCGGAAAACCAAGGCUGAGGCGUGAUGACGAAGCACUACGGUGCUGAAGCGACAAAUGCCCUGCUUCCAGGAAAAGCCUCUAAGCAUCAGGUAACAUCAAAUCGUACCCCAAACCGACACAGGUGGUCAGGUAGAGAAUACCAAGGCGCUUGAGAGAACUCGGGUGAAGGAACUAGGCAAAAUGGUGCCGUAACUUCGGGAGAAGGCACGCUGAUAUGUAGGUGAAGCGACUUGCUCGUGGAGCUGAAAUCAGUCGAAGAUACCAGCUGGCUGCAACUGUUUAUUAAAAACACAGCACUGUGCAAACACGAAAGUGGACGUAUACGGUGUGACGCCUGCCCGGUGCCGGAAGGUUAAUUGAUGGGGUUAGCGGUAACGCGAAGCUCUUGAUCGAAGCCCCGGUAAACGGCGGCCGUAACUAUAACGGUCCUAAGGUAGCGAAAUUCCUUGUCGGGUAAGUUCCGACCUGCACGAAUGGCGUAAUGAUGGCCAGGCUGUCUCCACCCGAGACUCAGUGAAAUUGAACUCGCUGUGAAGAUGCAGUGUACCCGCGGCAAGACGGAAAGACCCCGUGAACCUUUACUAUAGCUUGACACUGAACAUUGAGCCUUGAUGUGUAGGAUAGGUGGGAGGCUUUGAAGUGUGGACGCCAGUCUGCAUGGAGCCGACCUUGAAAUACCACCCUUUAAUGUUUGAUGUUCUAACGUUGGCCCGUAAUCCGGGUUGCGGACAGUGUCUGGUGGGUAGUUUGACUGGGGCGGUCUCCUCCUAAAGAGUAACGGAGGAGCACGAAGGUUGGCUAAUCCUGGUCGGACAUCAGGAGGUUAGUGCAAUGGCAUAAGCCAGCUUGACUGCGAGCGUGACGGCGCGAGCAGGUGCGAAAGCAGGUCAUAGUGAUCCGGUGGUUCUGAAUGGAAGGGCCAUCGCUCAACGGAUAAAAGGUACUCCGGGGAUAACAGGCUGAUACCGCCCAAGAGUUCAUAUCGACGGCGGUGUUUGGCACCUCGAUGUCGGCUCAUCACAUCCUGGGGCUGAAGUAGGUCCCAAGGGUAUGGCUGUUCGCCAUUUAAAGUGGUACGCGAGCUGGGUUUAGAACGUCGUGAGACAGUUCGGUCCCUAUCUGCCGUGGGCGCUGGAGAACUGAGGGGGGCUGCUCCUAGUACGAGAGGACCGGAGUGGACGCAUCACUGGUGUUCGGGUUGUCAUGCCAAUGGCACUGCCCGGUAGCUAAAUGCGGAAGAGAUAAGUGCUGAAAGCAUCUAAGCACGAAACUUGCCCCGAGAUGAGUUCUCCCUGAGACUUAGAGUCUCCUGAAGGAACGUUGAAGACGACGACGUUGAUAGGCCGGGUGUGUAAGCGCAGCGAUGCGUUGAGCUAACCGGUACUAAUGAACCGUGAGGCUUAACCUUACAACGCCGAAG
rnacentral:rRNA from 1 species